AAAUGUCCUGUGAUCUGAUCCAG
rnacentral:piRNA from 1 species